UAACUAACUAUGGUGUAAACAAACGUACAUUCUGUAAUUUACGAUUCUUCUUCACACGAGUACUUGGUAAAUUUACAGAUUUUUGUACACACUUUGGCACACACUUUUCUAACACUAAGACCCUAUAUUUAUACUGGAUUGAGAUAACCGUUUCUGAUGGUCCUUCAAUCACGUCGAGACACAUGACGCCUUUCAUGGAUGUAACUACCCAUUAUGUUCCACGUGUACUCUCAACGGUUUCAGAUAAGGGCGAAGUUCCCUCCCUUAUUUGAAUUUUGAAUCUUUGAUCGAAAACUGUUUUCAACCGUUUUUAAGAUAUAUUUCUGGAGUCUCAACUGCAUGCUGAUCCUUAUUACCCUUAUCCAGUCGAAUCACCCCCAGUUGGUUGAAUAUCACCUCCUGGUCAAAAAACAGCUAUACAUAUGAUUUCCUUUCUUGAUAAUUCUUAAUGGACGUCGAAAAUAUGAGCUAACAGGGUGCAAGUGCGGUUGCAGACCGCAAUUUAAAACCAUGGAUAAGUACAUAACAUAGACUCCUUAUUUAUUUUGUCGAACUCCUCCUAGGUGCAUGUUGACACCUGGGGGCAUAUAAGCUUUCGCAAGGAGAAUGCUUCCAAUAAGGUGAGAAAUUAGAAACUUAAAAACAUAAGAUAUUUGCAUGUGUUCAUUUAUAUAUGAACGUGAAUAUAAAUUGUAAUUAUAAUUAUGCAUGCACAUUUCACUUAACUUUUUUAGUGGAAAAAGUAAACACCUUAGUAUGCUCUGCCAUUUUGUUGUGAAAAGUUGCUGGAGCAUUCCAUUUUGUUGUGGAAAGUGGUGAUAGUAGUUGGCUUGCUCAUGCUCUUUUUGAGUAUACAUUUGGUAUGAAGUUAUCCUUUCACAAUCAAACGGGACGAUCAUGUCUUUAUGUAAAUCAAUCAACGGGUAAUUCAUACUUUUGGCUUGAAAAAUUGUGACUAAUGCCUUUUUCUUAUUAUUUUUAAACCUUAUUAUACAUCUUUCUAAGUUAACAAUUAUUUAGAAUAUUAAAUUCUUUCUAUAUUAUUUUUAUCUGGUUGUGUUCGAAAGUGGUCACAAACGAUUUUCUUAUUACUAUAGGACUGUUGUAGAAUCAACUGAGUCCUUUUCUUUUUAAAUUGGUCUUCAUAUCAAAUAGAAAAUGUCAAUGUCUAUGUUCUUUGUUUUGAUUAUAUAGUUUCUUCCUAUUAAAUGAUAAGCUUAAGAUAUGAAGAUAAAUUUGAAAGCAUAUAAUAAUUUAUUUUAUAAGAGUAGAAAAGAGUAUAUAUGAUGCAAGUUUUGGAGGAAGUAUAUUAAUUCUUAGGCAGAAGUGAAAUUGGAGGUGAUUCCAAAGACUUUAUGGUUUAAAAGUAUAUUGGAUCCAUCAUACAAGUUAAUUGGGAAAUAAAGAGAAAUAUAAAUUAGGUUUAGAUGGGAUGAAUGAAAUCAAUGAAUGUUUUUUAUGUUAUUUUCUUUUGUUAUAGAAGUGCAGGUAUCCAUUUUCUAUAAGACAUUGUGUUGUUUCGAUGGUUUGGUCUAUGUAGUCAAUUUCAGUCUCCCAUUAUCGAUUAAAUGACUUUUUGCUAUUUACAUAUGUUGGUAAAAAUGCAAUUGCUAUAUCAUUAUACCUUUGCACUAAUGAUUGCAGACAGUAGGGUUAAACCUUCAAACAAACUCGAUCAAAGAUAAAUAUCUUCUCUUUUUGUCGGCGUAUAUCUUCA
rnacentral:lncRNA from 1 species